rnacentral:rRNA from 1 species
UACAGAGGUCUCAAGCGUUGUUCGGAUUCAUUGGGCGUAAAGGGCGCGUAGGUGGUUCUGUAUGUCUACCGUGAAAGCGUACGGCUCAACUGUAUUUUGUCGGUAGAAACUGCAGGACUUGAGGCUGGGAGGGGCUGGUGGAAUUCCCUGUGUAGCGGUGAAAUGCGUAGAGAUGGGGGAGAACACUCGUGGCGAAGGCGGCCAGCUAGACCAGUUCUGACACUGAGGCGCGACAGCGUGGGGAGCAAACAGG